GACGAACCGUGCUAACGUUAUUCGGAAUCACUGGGCUUAAAGGGCGCGUAGGCGGGCAGCCAAGUCAGGGGUGAAAGCGUUCGGCUCAACCGGACAAGUGCCUUUGAUACUGGCGGCCUCGAGGGAGGUAGGGGCGCGUGGAACUUCCGGUGGAGCGGUGAAAUGCGUUGAUAUCCAGCGGAACUCCGGUGGCGAAGGCGAGGUGCUGGACCCUUUCUGACGCUGAGGCGCGAAAGCCAGGGGAGCAAACGGG
rnacentral:rRNA from 1 species